rnacentral:tRNA from 1 species
GCUGCCGUAGCUCAGUGGUAGAGCACUCCAUUGGUAAUGGAGAGGUCGAGAGUUCAAUCCCCUCCGGCAGCACCA